rnacentral:rRNA from 1 species
AUUGAACGCUGGCGGCAGGCCUAACACAUGCAAGUCGAGCGGAUGAAGGGAGCUUGCUCUUGGAUUCAGCGGCGGACGGGUGAGUAAUGCCUAGGAAUCUGCCUGGUAGUGGGGGACAACGUUUCGAAAGGAACGCUAAUACCGCAUACGUCCUACGGGAGAAAGCAGGGGACCUUCGGGCCUUGCGCUAUCAGAUGAGCCUAGGUCGGAUUAGCUAGUUGGUGAGGUAAUGGCUCACCAAGGCGACGAUCCGUAACUGGUCUGAGAGGAUGAUCAGUCACACUGGAACGGAGACACGGUCCAGACGCCUACGGGAGGCAGCAGUGGGGAAUAUUGGACAAUGGGCGAAAGCCUGAUCCAGCCAUGCUGCGUGUGUGAAGAAGGUCUUCGGAUUGUAAAGCACUUUAAGUUGGGAGGAAGGGUUGUAGAUUAAUACUCUGCAAUUUUGACGUUACCGACAGAAUAAGCACCGGCUAACUCUGUGCCAGCCGCCGCCGUAAAAC